UACAGAGGGGGCAAGCGUUGUUCGGAAUUACUGGGCGUAAAGCGCGCGCAGGCGGCUUCCUAAGUCCGUUGGUGAAAGACCGGGGGCUCAACCCCGUGUCAGCCAUGGAUACUGGGAGGCUGGAGACAGGUAGAGGCAAGCGGAAUUCCGGGGUGUAGCGGUGGAAUGCGUAGAGAUCCGGAAGAACACCGGAGGCGAAGGCGGCUUGCUGGACCUGGUCUGACGCUGAGGCGCGAAAGCGUGGGGAGCGAACAGGAUUAGAGUACC
rnacentral:rRNA from 1 species